CUUUUAUAGUCCACAACAAAAAUCUCUGCUCCGACUAAACUUCCCAGUCAUACUCAUAUAGUUUGCCAUGACUAGCCUGCAGAUUCCUUUAAACAUCUCUGCACUCAGCAGCUACUGUGACGACCUGGGCAAGAGGAGGAUAUGUUUUCGAUUCGAAUUUCUGCAACGCAUCAACCUGUCAAGAAGAAGGAUUGAUAGGUUACAUGGCAAUAAAUUCAAGCUUAGGGCUGUUUCUGGGAAAAUGUUUUGCUUUGUAGGCAGCAAUGGAAGGGAAGGUAUUUGCAUGAGAGAGGAGAGGCAGAAAAAGAGGGUUGUAUUGGCUAGAGUUAAUCAGGGUUUUGGAUUUAAUGGUGGCGGUGGUGGAGGAGAUAACGGCAACACUGCAAGGCUUUUGGGCAACCUUGCUUUAGCUAUUGGUUUAACUUAUCUUUCAAUGACUGGGCAGCUUGGUUGGGUUUUGGAUGCAAUUGUUUCUAUUUGGCUACUUGCAGUGCUUCUACCAAUUGUGGGGUUGGGUGCUUUUCUCUGGUGGGCAGGGCGAGAUAUAGUUCAAGACAGUUGCCCCAACUGUGGAAAUGGUUUUCAGAUUUUUAGAUCUUCUUUGAAGGAUGGUCUGCAGCUCUGCCCCUUCUGUAGCCAACCUUUCUCGGUGGAAGGCAAUGAGUUUGUGAGAGAACCUACAAAGGUCUCUUCCAACCAGUCUACGACAUUUGGACAAGCAUUCAGUGGCUUCUCUCCCCGUUCAAAGACAGAAAAUGGUUCUGUAACAGUUGUUGAUGUUGAAGCUGAAGUGAAGGAUGUGGACUAAUGGUUUAUCGCUCAUGCACAUUAGAACCUGGUAGGCAGUAGGGAUCUCGUCUUUCACCUUAAUAGUCUCUUGCUCCACCCGUGAGAUGUGUAGAUAUGCUGGAGUUUGGUGAUUCCUCAACCUGAUUAUGUCAA